UUACACGAAUCUUAGAGAGAGAAGAUUAUCCAGGUCAGCGUUUUCGUUCGGGGGAAACUGGGUGUCGUCGCGAACGCCUCCGGCCGCACGUCUCUUAUCCAUCCACCGCAUCGUCACUCUGCAGACCCCCGCCACUCUCUCGCCCUCUCCUUCUUCGUCCCCCACCACUCACGACGUCGUUGCCGGCGACGAGGCCAGACGACCGUUGAUCCGGGAACAAGGGCGGCGCACCCUGCAGCAGCUGCCCCUCGUCGCGCCGCACGUGGAGUUGCUUCGCCCGCGUCGUACGCGCGAGCAGGAGCACCAGGAGCCGCCCCGGACGCACUUCGACGGGCACCUCUCCGUCGCGGUUGUCUCCGUCGCGCCGCGCGUGGAGGUGCUCCGUCGGCCCGCAUAGGCCGCGCAAGCAGGAGCACCUUGCCAGGGGCCGCCCGGGCCGUGCAUCGAUGGGCAGCUCGUCGUCGUGGCUGCCCCGUCGCGUCGUGCGUGGACGGCGAUCCGUGUCGUCACACGAGAAGGAGCACCAGGCGCCGCCCCAGCCGCACACAUCGACGGGCACCUCGCCGUCGCGGCUGUCCUCGUCGCGCCGUGCGUGGAGGUCACCCGUCGGCCCGCAUCAGUCGCGCAAUCAGGAGCACCAGGGGUCGCCCCAGCCGUGAAUGGAUGGGCAGCUCGCCGUGCUGGCUGCCCCGUCGCGUCGCGCGUGGACUGGUCGUGCGAACAGGAGCGCCAGCUGCGAAUGGUUGGGGCGACAGCUAAGCGCGGUCGCUGAGGGGAGCCGACGGCUAUAGAGGACAUCGAGCUGCGGUGGCAGGUACUCCCGCUUCUGCUCUGAGUGAAUAAACGGCAUCGUGAGCCGGCGACCCCUCCAUCUGGUGCAAGCUCUAGACCAUGGCAAUUUCUUGACGCCCACGGCAAUUUAUAUUUGAACAAAUUUCAAUAUUUUCGUGCAACCAUGGCAAUUUAUUUCCCAUAGCAUGGCAAUUUUUUUUAUUUUUUGUACAUCAUGAAAUUUUUGCUAGUUGCCAUCUAUCAUGGCAUUUUUCUUUUUCUGUAGGUACUGUGUGGUAGCCUCAACAAUUAUAACAAUUGAUGGCAAUUUCUAGAUUUUUGUGGCAUUUUUA